GGUCCAAAUCUAAUUAAUAAAUAUAACUUUACAUAUUAUAUACAUAGCCACGUACAUAACAUUUUCUAAACGUAUGCAUUACUAUGGAAACUAAUUAAUAUAGUAUACAUUCUCAAAUAAAUACAGCCCCUGAAGCAGGGAAGAAAUUCUUUUGUUCACAAAAGAAAAAAAAUCACCGAAUGAGAAAAUGAAGAAAAUUUUGUCAAAGUACUCUUGUUUAUGAGAGAAGGCCAAGCAAUGGCAGUGGAGUCGAGGACUUUCUAGGCAAAAGCUUGUUCAUAUGAAACAUGAGAGAUAUAAUUUGGUUUCUUAACCAAUGUGUCGUGAUAAACAUCCUAACCGGUCCAACUCCAAUUAACCUUUUUGCAUUUGAUCUAAGAAAAUUAAUAUAAAAACCAUGCUUCUCUGAGUUUAACGUUUGUUUUACUCAUGAAUUGUUGAUGCCCAAACAUUUUUCUUGUGUAGGAAUCCACCCAUUUCUAGCCCGGUAGGUGCAGAAGUGGACAUGCAUGACAUACCAAUAUUGAUUAAUUUAGAUCUCCAUACCAAUUCUCAAAGAAGCAUCACUAAAGAUUUCAAAAAGUUGAUGGCAUAUGAUUUCCUACAUAAAAAGCAUUCAUAUAAUUUACACUUGUUCUUUGUAUCAUAAAUUUUGUGAUAUGUCUUCAUUUUAAAAAUAAAAAAGAAAUAAAUUUAAUCUAAAACCAGAAGUACCAUAUGAACAACCAAAGCUCCCAGGAAAACUUCCAUUUUGGCCUUGCAGUAAGCAAUGGACUGGAGUGAAGUUGUGUUCAACCCAAAUAUCUACAGAAAUUGAAAGCAACAUUACAUAUGGAAGAAUCACAAGGCAAUUUAAACAUAAUCGAAUUGAAUUUUAAUCAAUACCUGUUUUUGUAGUCUUCAAAAAGAAACAAAUUGAUAUCAUGAAAUGGAAGCACAACUAUUCAAAAUUAUAUUAUCUCACAACACACCAUUCAAAAAGAGGACCAACAAUAGAAAAACGUUACACAUAACUAUAUUUACAUAUUAUUUCCUUAAGAAAUAAAAGUAAUAAAUGUGAGAAGAUAAGAGUUGAAGUGCCUUACCAUCCACCAUUGUUUUGCUUGAUUUGCAGUCAGGAGUGAAGCCACAACAAUUUUUUAGGGGGUUGAUUGAAAUUUUAAUUUUUUAUAGUCUAUAUAUUUAUAAUUUUUAAAGGAGGAGGGGGCGUGGACCCUGCCAGCCCCCUAUAUUCGCCUCUGUUUGCAGCAGAGGAAUGGACAACAACUAGAGUUCGAAAAGAUUUUUGUAAAAAAUAAUAAAAAUUUUCAUGAAUGGAAGAAAUUAAUUAGAUAUGGAAGGAAUCUAGAAAGAGAUUAAGUUUACAUCUAAGGACUCCACCUUCUUUUCCAGAUCACAAAGAUGUUGAAGCUUCCUGACUCUUAAUUUCUGAGCAAAGAAACGAUUUGAAAUCAGCUACAUAUAUAGCAUCUUUGUGACAUGGAAAAAGAAAGGGAAGUAUUUAGAUAGAUUAAAGAAAAGAAGAGAGAAAGAACUGGCUGUUUAAGCUUUCUGGUGUCUAUGUUUUGUUCUUGGUGACAAACCACAUGGACAAGAACGACAUUGCCAUUGGCAACGACAAAGUUUUAGGUUGCAGAGAAACCAUGGGAGGAGAGGAUGCUCUGGUAGGAGAAGGUGAA
rnacentral:lncRNA from 1 species